AUCCAGCUGACGAGUCCCAAAUAGGAAGAAACGCAUGUGCUGGAU
rnacentral:hammerhead_ribozyme from 1 species